CUCGCGGAGAACCUCGCUCCUCUUCCUGGCCUCGCGGAGAACCUCGCUCCCCCCUUGAGUCUUGCGGAGAAGCUCGCUCCUCUUCCUGGCCUCGCGGAGAACCUCGCCAUUUGUUUGUUUUUUAACUCAGCAGGUGCCAGUUGAAACGUUUGCUGGUGACCAGUAUUGUAUACCGCAGUCACAAGUGGAAACAAGCACUCCUCAGGUUGGAUAAAUUGUCACUUUUCUGACCUUUUUAAUUACUUCAUAUUAAAGUUGUAUUGUUUUUUUUUUUAGCUUGAUGAGGUAAACAGCCAUGAUGCGUGCUCCAUCAGUAGUGUGGAAAAUAGUGAAGAUGAAUAUGCCCCUGAGUCUUCAUGUAGUAGCUCAGAUGAAAGUGCCUGCAGUCAUGUGAUUUCAGUUUCUGAAAGGAAAAGGACAAAAAGAUGUCCUUUACUCAGUCCUAGCACUGGUCAGUCUAGUGCUACAGUUUCCAAUGAAUCUGAAGUUGUACCUGACCAGUCAAGCGCUGUUUUGUUCAGAUGAGUUUCAAAGCCAACUAGUAAAGUGAGAGUGUAUGAUAAGAAACAGAACUGUUUGUUUUGCAGCAAACCACUAUCAAAAAUGUCAAGACACUCAGAGCAGUUUCAUAGCACUGAGUCUGAAGUUUAGAAAGCUUUGAGUUUUCCAAAAGGUUCAAAAGAAAGGAAAAACUUGCUAGAUCACCACAGGAACAGGGGGAAUUUUGCACAUAGUGCUGAAGUUGUACAGCAUGGAGAAGGUGAGCUUGUACCUUGUAAGAAGCCAUGAAAAGAUUGUGAUUUCAAUACCCUUGUGCACUGCUGCAACUGCCAAGGGCUCUUUGCUAGAAAGUUUCUCUGGUGUCAUAUGAAACGGUGUAAACUGUGCAAAAAUGAUCACUCCCAUCCCAAACCAGGAAAGAACAGAAUGCUUUCACAAAGUGCUUAUAUGGGACCUGCACCUCCUGGAACUAGUGCUGGCCUGUGGAAACUUUUCAGUAACAUGACCCAUGACAAGGUGGUACUCUCAGGAACAGAGAAUGAAUCAGAUGAAGAAGGUGAGCUUUACACUCUUAUAUACAGAGCCUAUGAAAAGCACUCCUGUGUGUUUGGGUGUUUUGGGGGUGUUUUGGUCUUCAUGGUGUUGUUUUUGCCGGGAAGCAUACUCAUCAGUGAGUGGUAGAGUGGUGUAACCAGUGGCACUGAGCAUGCAUUUCUGGUGCCAGUGGGGCUUAUUACUGUUGAUGCUUCUUGUGGUAGUGUAGGCUUAAUUCGGUGAAACACCAGAUAAGAUGGGUGUCUGCUCCAGUGAAAAGCCUGUGAUGUGGGCGGCUCCAAACUAGGUUUUAUCUAUUGAUAGGGCAAGUAUGGUAUAUGGGAGACGGAAGGUUAGCUAGGCCUUUAUGUAAUCCUUAAUGGCUUGGUACAUGUAGAUAGCAUCUUAACGUGUAUAAUUGUAUCCACAACCACCUAGCAACACCAUAGUGACCACAUUUUAAGCUCCACAAUCACUGUAUUCUUCAGAAAAUGCACAACUUGUAGUUGUUUAUUAUUAUUAUUAUUAUUAUUAUGAGGUGUCCUUACUCGUUUAGGAUGCAUUCAAAAAGAGUGCACUUGUUCUGUGUUUAAGUAGAUAUUGAGCCAGAACUGAAACCAUCUACAGAGCAAGCCCAGGAAACCUCAUCUGAGCAAGCAACAGAACCAACCAGUACCACAUCUGUUCCCAAAGGCUGGUAGGCUGCAGUAUUACAGGUGAAGGUUGUGCUGCUCUGGUUUCAGCUCUGAGGUCAAACACCUCAUCACACCUGAGAGAACUGAAUCUGAACUACAAUAAUCCAGGAGAAUCAGGAGAGAAGCUGCUCUCUGAUCUACUGAAGGAUCCACACUGUAAACUGGAGAAACUAGAGUUCAAGACCUUUAAAUUCUGAUCUCCAAUUCUCAACCUCAGAUGAUUGUGGAUUACAUUAACCUGUACAAAUAAACAUUACAAAGUGUUGUGAAGAACAUACACUCACCGUCCACUUUAUUAGGAACACCUGUACACCUGCACAUUCAUGCAGUUAUCUAAUCAGCCAAUCAUGUGGCAGCAGCACAAUGCAUAAACCCAUGCAGAUGCGGGUCAAGAGCUUCAGUUAAUGUUCACAUCAAACAUCAGAAUGGAGGAAAAGUCUGAUCUCUGUGACUUUAACCGUGGCAUGGAUGUUUUUACCAGAUGGGUUGUUUUUUACACCAUUUUGUAUAGAGACAGUUGUGUGUAUUUGGCUCACUGAAAAAUCUCCUGCACAUGACCAAGAUGGCUGACUUUUUUUUCCCCAAAAAAUUAUGAUUUUGUAAUAUAAUCUUCAGUUAUGCGUUUUUAAAAAAUUGACACAAAAUAUUAUAUAUAUAUAUAUAGAGACUUUAUACACUCAGAAGUGUCAUAUUUCAUUAAAUACAAACACUAUUUUAUUCAAUAUAGCAGUAUAUACACACUCAACUGACAGACAGUGACUGUGUGUGUCUGUGUGUGCGUCUGUAUGUCAUGUCUCAUAGUGGGAUUGUAAAUAUACAGCCGCUGUAUACUCGAGACUUUCUGCCUUUCUGUGUGGCCAAACCCAUCGGAGGAAGAUAUGACCACAGAGAGAGAUGAUGAUGAUUAUUAUUAUCCAUCCAUCCAUCCAUCCAUCUUCUACCGCUUACUCCUUUUCGGGGUCACGGGGACCCUGGAGUCUAUCCCAGGAAGCAUCGGGCAUAAGGCGGGGUACACCCUGGACAGGGUGCCAAUCCACCGCACAAUCACAUACACACUCACACACCCAUUCAUACACUACGGACACUUUAGAAACGCCAAUCAGCCUACCAUGCAUGUCUUUGGACUGGGGGAGGAAACCGGAGUACCCUGAGGAAACCCCCGCAGCACUGAGAGAACAUGUAAACUCCACACACACAGGGCCACGGCAGGACUCGAACCCCAGACCCUGGAGGUGUGAGGCGAACGUACUGGUUACCAUUUCAUUUCUAUAAAAUUAAAUCAAAUUUAUUCACAUUAUUGAUAUACAACUUCAUAAGUUUAAAAAGCAACAAUGACUAAUUACUCAUAUAUGAUCAGUUCUGCUAAUAAACGGUCCUGGAUUUGACUGGAUGUAUUAUGUAAUGACUAGUAUUAAUAAAAACAGCAGUGUGUGUGACUCACCGAUCUCUAUUCAAGCCUCACACUCCGCUACACACUUACUGAUUAACUCUGGGUCUUUGUAUUUCAUAUUUUUAUGUGGAUGAAUCACAAUAAAGUUAAUUGAACUUGAAACAUGAUGUAGUUUUUAUUAUUUUUUUUUUAUUUUUUCAUUACACUUCCAUGGUGAUCAAUCUGCAUCUGAAAUCAUUUAUUUGUGCACUAUUAGUGCUGUAGUUUGUUCAAUUAUUUAAAAAUAUCUAACAUUGAGCACUUUUAAUACUCAACAGUUCCAGAUGGUUCCCUGUGGAUCCACCAGAGGGCAGUGUGGUUUUAAUGAAAAAUAUUUUUUUUUAAAACCACAGCCAGUGAGAAUGAUGCUACAGUGUAAAAACUAAUGAGGAGGUUUUUUUUUAGUGGCCUGUAAAAUGAGUUGUUGUUCUGUUCUGCUCCACUAUCUCAAUGAAUUAGUGUUUGCACUACAAACAUAUAUGUACUACAUACUUACCCACACACUGAAUAGUUUAAUAAUACACAGUCUGGUUUUUAAUAAUACAGUCAGUGUAGAUAACUGAUGUUAUGCAGUUAGCUGUGAUGUGCGGUGGGUGUGUCCACGGAACUUAAAUCCAAUAUAGUCAUUCCUGUGUUAGCGGGGUUUCCCACAUUGAGCAUGUUCAUGCACGUGUGGUAGGAUAAGUGAUUGAACUAUCCUAUUUGCCCUGUUCGGGCUAUGGCUUUGGCAGACCCAUGAGGUGGGAGCUAUCCUAUUAUUUAAGGACCCUUAUUUUGGCAGGCGCAUAUGUGUCUUGUGGAUUCGAGUUUCUUCACUCUUUGUUUUCAAAAUUGUUUCAAUAAAGUCUAAUUACUUUUUGACAUCUACAAAUCCUCUGUCUCAUUAGCCUUCUAUUUGGAGUAUUAAGUGUUAAUUCAUCAUGGAGACUGAACCUAGUCUAUAACUCUAUUAAUGUGCAGGGACGCCAGGAAACUGUACAGUUGCAACCAUCUACCAUCCUGACAACUUUUAUCCCCACCACUUGUAAAAUAAAGCUUCUCCACUGUAGCCUACAUACAUGUAGCUGUCCUAACAGACCUGCGUAUCUAAUCUAACAGCAUUACUUUUUAAGUACUUUCUACAAACAAUCACACUGGAUCUAAGAAUCAGUUAUUAUCUAAUCCUUAACUUAUAAUGAUUCCAGAUCUGGAAUUA